AACUAACAAGGAUUCCCCUAGUAACUGCGAGUGAAGCGGGAAAAGCUCAAAUUUAAAAUCUGAGGGUCUUUAUGGCCUUCCGAGUUGUAAUCUAGAGAAGUGCUAUCCGCGCUGGACCGUGUACAAGUCUCCUGGAACGGAGCGUCAUAGAGGGUGAGAAUCCCGUCUUUGACACGGACUACCAGGGCUUAUGUGAUGCGCUCUCAAAGAGUCGAGUUGUUUGGGAAUGCAGCUCUAAAUGGGUGGUAAAUUCCAUCUAAAGCUAAAUAUUGGCGAGAGACCGAUAGCGAACAAGUACCGUGAGGGAAAGAUGAAAAGAACUUUGGAAAGAGAGUUAAACAGUACGUGAAAUUGUUGAAAGGGAAACGCUUGAAGUCAGUCGCAUUGGCCAGGGAUCAACCUUGCUUUUGCUUGGUGUAUUUUCUGGUUAAUGGGUCAGCAUCAAUUUUGAUCGGUGGAAAAAGAUCAAGGGAAUGUGGCAUCUUCGGAUGUGUUAUAGCCUUUGGUUGUAUACAUCGGUUGGGAUUGAGGAACUCAGCACGCCGCAAGGCCGGGUUUUUAACCACGUACGUGCUUAGGAUGCUGGCAUAAUGGCUUUAAUCGACCCGUCUUGAAACACGGACCAAGGAGUCUAACAUGCACGCGAGUGUUUGGGUGGAAAACCCGAGCGCGUAAUGAAAGUGAAAAUUGAGAUCCCUGUCGUGGGGAGCAUCGAUGCCCGGACCAGACCUUUUGUGACGGUUCCGCGGUUGAGCGUGUAUGCUGGGACCCGAAAGAUGGUGAACUAUGCCUGAAUAGGGUGAAGCCAGAGGAAACUCUGGUGGAGGCUCGUAGCGAUUCUGACGUGCAAAUCGAUCGUCAAAUUUGGGUAUAGGGGCGAAAGACUAAUCGAACCAUCUAG
rnacentral:rRNA from 1 species